UACAGAGGCCUCGAGCGUUAAUCGGAAUCACUGGGCUUAAAGCGUACGUAGGCGGACGCGUAGGCAUCGUGUGAAAUCCCCCGGCUCAACCGGGGAACUGCACGGUGAACCGCGCGUCUUGAGGCAAGUAGAGGCGGUCGGAACGCUAGGUGGAGCGGUGAAAUGCGUAGAUAUCUAGCGGAACGCCGAAGGUGAAAACAGGCCGCUGGGCUUGUUCUGACGCUGAGGUACGAAAGCGUGGGGAGCAAACGGG
rnacentral:rRNA from 1 species